GACGAACCGUGCGAACGUUGUUCGGAAUCACUGGGCUUAAAGGGCGCGUAGGCGGGUUUGCAAGUCUGCGGUGAAAGCCUCCAGCUUAACUGGAGAAGUGCCGUGGAUACUGCGGAUCUCGAGGAGGGUAGGGGCAUCUGGAACGGUCGGUGGAGCGGUGAAAUGCGUAGAUAUCGGAAGGAACAUCAGUGGCGAAAGCGACUUCCUGGACCAAUACUGACGCUCAUGUGCGAAAGCGUGGGGAGCAAACAGG
rnacentral:rRNA from 1 species